rnacentral:lncRNA from 1 species
CGGCGGGCGGGGAGCAGGCGAGCGAGCCAGGCUCAACUCCGAAUGGAUUGGAUUGCGAGUCUGCACGUGAGAAAACCGUUUGGCUUGGCUUGGACCCCUGCCGCCCCCCACCUCCUCCACACACACCCAGUCCAGGGGUCCCCUUUAUCACCCUUUGCUUGCAACUCCAAAAGAAGUUGCCCACCUCCUGAGUCACAACACAAGGUCGAAUAAUUCCUCUAGAUGAAAGAUCAGUUUCAUUUCAAAACGAGAAUAGGUUCCUUUUUUUAUUUUCUCCACAUGGUACAAAAUAAAC